UUGUCAUAGAAAAUACAUCAUGCAAAAAAUGGGAAAAAAUUGGCGAGAUCAUCGAUGUAAUUUGCUUAAAGCAAUCAAUAACAAAGGAAAAACAAUUGGCAUGACACGAGUUGCUGCUCUCCUCAAGCCCGACAAUAUUGAAUCAAUGGAAGAAUGACAAGCAUUUGUCAAAGAACGCAAUUCUCAACCAUAUAAGGAAAAGAAUGAAAGAUUCAAAAAGAUGAGAGCAAGUCAAACCAUGUUGCAUACAACAAGUAGAAAGGGUUUUGCUCGCUUAGAAGCUGAAAUGCGUGCUCAAAGUGAAGAUCCUGAUUCGAUAACGAGAGAUGAUGUUUAUAUUCUAGGACAUACGCAAAAAAAUGGUGAACUUAUUAAUGAAUCAGUUGGGGAAACAUUGAAUAAAAUAAAAGUAUAUUCAGAGACGGUUUCCUCUCCAAGCAAACACUCACUUGAAGAUGAUGGUGUUGUAAAAGUACUUGGUCCAGAACGUCCAAGACGGGUAAGAGGUCUUGGUUUCGGUGCGACCCCUUCAAAGUUUAAUGUUUUGGUGAACAACCAUAACUUGCAAACUCAAGUUCAAGAGUUGAGGGAUGAAAUUAAAGAAUUAAAAGCUCUGUUUUAAGUCAAGAGUAAAAGUGCUGAACAAGAAGAUAAUUCUAGAGACAGAAGUUUGAAUGGUUUAGAUAACCUUCAAAAUAAGAAGUGCAAAUUGUUAUAUUGGUUUGGGAAAGCUGAUAUUGUUGCAAAAGGUGAAAUCGCAUCAACAAAUCCAAAUGAUCUAGUGCAUCAUGUACCCCUUGGUAACAAAUGUUAGAGAGUUUGGGUUAAUGAAGUGAUCGAUAAUGUUAUCUUAUAUCAUCCCACGUGUGAGAUUUUUCUUCUGGAAGAUGCAUUAGGAAGUACAAUUGCAUGGCCAAGUAGGUAUAUCGAAGUGGAUUCGCUGUAAUCACAACGAAGGGGAUCCAUAUUUUGUGGGGUAGCUAAAUUGUCGGUCAAAGAAGUGAACUUUGAUAGGUUUAAUAAUUUUUUGUUAUAUGACGGAACCUCAAUAUCUACAGGCUUAUUAGUUGAAUGGCGAUUGGCGUAUACAAUA